rnacentral:lncRNA from 1 species
CACAGCUCUGCACCCCGGGAGCGGCAGUCUACGCGUGCGUGCCGCGGUGCACUGUGGGUAGCUUGUGCGCGCAGCAGUCCCCGGGUCUGAGAACCCUGUCGCACACGGUCAGUUACUCGGCCAGUCACUGGGCCCUGUGGCUCUGGUUUCUGCUAGGCGAGGGCCUGGGCACCAGGACGUGCCUGACACCGCAGGUGCCACACGCAAUGCUCUCUGCCCCUACCUGGGCUCCUCCCCAGGCUGUCACUUAACUCCCGAGCUUAGUGGUUGUCAGCUCUG